rnacentral:rRNA from 1 species
UACGUAGGGUGCAAGCGUUGUCCGGAAUUAUUGGGCGUAAAGAGCUUGUAGGCGGUUUGUCGCGUCUGCUGUGAAAUUUCGGGGCUCAACCCCGAACUUGCAGUGGGUACGGGCAGACUAGAGUGUGGUAGGGGAGACUGGAAUUCCUGGUGUAGCGGUGAAAUGCGCAGAUAUCAGGAGGAACACCGAUGGCGAAGGCAGGUCUCUGGGCCAUAACUGACGCUGAGAAGCGAAAAGCAUGGGGGAGCGAACAGG